AUCACGUUGAAACUCCCGUACCCGUACGAUCAAUGAAGUUAAGCAACGCCAAACCUGGUCAGUAGCUAGAUGGGUGACCGCUUGGGAAUACCAGGGACUGUAAG